CAGUUUCUGUGCACUUUGGUGAAUGAAUGCGUGGAUGUUUCAUAAAGGAUUACACUGGCUAUUUGGAGAAUGGACCAUAGAAAAGCUAAGAGUGGAAACAGAUAAAGAAACAGAAACUCAAAGAAGUAACCAGGUCUGUAAACCCCGCACUUUGAGAGGCUGAGGCAGAAGGGAUUGUUUGAAGCCAGGAGAUUGAGACCAGCCUGCACAAUAUAAGGAGACCUUGUCUCUGCAAAAAAUUUAAAAAACAAAAGAAACUCAAAGAGGAGGACAAAGACUCUCUCCAGUGAAGCCUUUCUCUUCUCCUCAGGCCUCUCCUUCCUGACUCAGCCUUGGUUUACCACUGAGAUUUGCCAUAUACCAUACAGAAGAACAAAAACGUUACCAAUUAUUGGCAGGUUUUUUUUGUUUUUUUGUUUUUUUUUUAACCAAACGUCAAGUUGGUGAUGAAGUUAUCUGGAAAUGUCAACCAAACCCAGAAGACUACACAAGACUACAGGAGAAGGCACUCUGGGGUGAGAUGAUACUAACACACAAUACCCAUUGUAUAUACAGUUCUAAGUGUUUAACAUAUAUUAACCCUCUUACUUCUCAAACAAUCUAAUAAAGUAGGUACUACCAUUAUCAUUCCUGUUUCACAUAGCAGGACACUAAGGGCCAGGGAGGUUAAAUGGUGGAGUUGGAGAUUCUGAUCAAGGAAUUUUGGCUCCAAAGGGAAGAAAAGGGUGCUAGCUCCUGCUCUGGCCAGAUUCCCUCUGAGCGACUUGUGGAGUCUUACUGGGGGAUUCAACUCUUCUUCACCUCAAUCAGCAGUAAAGCCUACACAGACACUGGGAGCAUGACGGCAAGAGAAGGCCACCCACCUCUCUACACCCCUAGAUGACACACUACAGGAUCCCAGUGGAGUAUACAGAAAAUUCCAAGGAGACCAGGGGCCAGGGGUUCUCGGUGGAACCAUGGCAGGGAAAGUAUCAGAGACAGAAAUAUGAGACUCUG
rnacentral:lncRNA from 10 species